rnacentral:rRNA from 1 species
CCUACGGGAGGCAGCAGUGGGGAAUUUUGGACAAUGGGCGCAAGCCUGAUCCAGCAAUGCCGCGUGAGUGAAGAAGGCCUUCGGGUUGUAAAGCUCUUUUGUCAGGGAAGAAACGGUGGGAGCUAAUAUCUCCUACUAAUGACGGUACCUGAAGAAUAAGCACCGGCUAACUACGUGCCAGCAGCCGCGGUAAUACGUAGGGUGCAAGCGUUAAUCGGAAUUACUGGGCGUAAAGCGUGCGCAGGCGGUUUUGUAAGUCUGUCGUGAAAGCCCCGGGCUCAACCUGGGAAUUGCGAUGGAGACUGCAAGGCUUGAAUCUGGCAGAGGGGGGUAGAAUUCCACGUGUAGCAGUGAAAUGCGUAGAGAUGUGGAGGAACACCGAUGGCGAAGGCAGCCCCCUGGGUCAAGAUUGACGCUCAUGCACGAAAGCGUGGGGAGCAAACAGGAUUAGAUACCCUGGUAGUCCACGCCCUAAACGAUGUCUACUAGUUGUCGGGUUUUAAUUAACUUGGUAACGCAGCUAACGCGUGAGUAGACCGCCUGGGGAGUACGGUCGCAAGAUUAAAACUUCAAAGGAAUUGACGG